rnacentral:rRNA from 2 species
UACGUAGGGUCCGAGCGUUGUCCGGAAUUAUUGGGCGUAAAGGGCUCGUAGGCGGUCCGUCACGUCGGGAGUGAAAACUCAGGGCUCAACCCUGAGCGUGCUUCCGAUACGGGCGGACUAGAGGUAUGCAGGGGAGAACGGAAUUCCUGGUGUAGCGGUGGAAUGCGCAGAUAUCAGGAGGAACACCGGUGGCGAAGGCGGUUCUCUGGGCAUUACCUGACGCUGAGGAGCGAAAGCAUGGGGAGCGAACAGG